UAUUAGUGAUAAGCACAUAUUGUUGACUCAUAAUAAUUAUUACGGAUCACCUUAAAUGUGACAUCUCAUUCUAGAGUUUCUGACCUACUCAUCUUUAGUACGGUAGUGUAGUGUCGGCCUGCCGUGGCAAUGACGGGUAGUGGGGAAUUAGGGUUUGUUUCUUGAGAGGGAGCAUCUGAAGAAACUGCUACCUCAUCUAUGAGGACGGCAGCAGGCGCGCAACUUAUUCAAUCCUCAUACAGGGAGGUAGUGCAACAAGAAAUAACAAUAGCAGGACUUUUUGGUUUUUUAAUUGGAAUGAAGUUAAGUAUAAUCCCCCCCUUUACAAGUCAUCAAUUGGAGGGCAAGUCUAGUGUGCCAGCAGCCGCGGUAAUUCUAUCUGCAAUAGCAGUAUAUUAAAGUUGUUGCAGUUAAAAAGCUGGUAGUUGGAGGUUUCUGUUAAUAAUUUAUAUAAAUAUAUUUUGAAGAUUAUUUAUAUAAUAUUAUACAUUCUUCUUAUUACUAUAUAUUUUAUUAUAUGAAAUAUUUUCUUUGAGAAAAUUAUGAGUGCUUAAAGCAGGCAUAUGCGCCUUGAAUACUCCUGCAUGGAAGUAAUAUUAAAGAUUUUUAUCUUUCUUGUUGGUUCUAAGAUAAUAAUGAUGAUUAAUAGGGACUGUUGGGGGUUUUUGUUUUUAACAGUCAUAGGUGAAGAUCUUCUUAGAUAGUUGUUAAAGACAAACUAACUGCUGAAAGCAUCUGUUGCCGAGGAUGUCUUUCAUUCAUCAAGAACGAAAUGUUAGGGGAUCAACGAAGACGAUCAUAUACCGUCGUAGUCUAUCUUCAUACAUCUAUGAUGCCUACAAAUGUAGGAUAUCA
rnacentral:rRNA from 1 species